UCCUCCUGUGAACUUGUAGCUUCCCUGCAUCGUUCUGGCUUCCCCUGGCUGACUAGUCACACCUGUGUCUCUUCCAGCCUCCAGCCUCUGGCAAGGUCACCGUGAAGAAAACUCAAAGCAUCAAGAAUGAACCACAACACGUGUGCAUGGAAGCCAUGACAGCCCUUUCAGAUAUCAUCAGACAUUUCAACCCUUCUGUUCUGAUGCCCACGUGCUCUCCUGGGAAGAGCGGUGCAGCCCACAAUAUGGUUGA